AUUGAACGCUGGCGGCAUGCCUAACACAUGCAAGUCGAGCGGACGAAGGGGGCUUGUUCCUGGCUUCCGCUGCCGACGGGUGGGUAAUUCCCACGAAGCUGCCUUGCCUUUGGGGCUAACGUCCCUUAACGGGCCCGGAUACCGCAUACGUCCUUAUGUAGAAACGCGUGGAUCUUUGGACCUCACGCUAUCAGAUGACACUUGGUCGGAUUAGCUAGUUGGUUGGGUAAAGGCCUACCAAGGCGACGAUCCGUAACUGGGCUGAGAGGAUGAUCAGUCACACUGGAACUGAGACACGGUCCAGACUCCUACGGGAGGCAGCAGUGGGGAAUCUUGGACAAUGGGCGAAAGCCUGAUCCAGCCAUGCCGCGUGUGUGAUGAAGGUCUUCGGAUCGUAAAGCACUGUAAGUAGGGAGGAAGGAAAGUAAGAUAAUCUAUUGCUGUUUUGACGUUACCAACAGAAAAAGCACCGGCUAACUACGUG
rnacentral:rRNA from 1 species